GACCUGAUGGCAUAAUUGGUUAGUGUACCUGCUGACCAUAAUAUGCUUGGAAGGCAGGAGAUCCCCGUUUGAUCCGGAGUCGGGUCA